CGGAUUUGGUGACAUGUCUCGCACAAGACUGUUACCACGGUUCAUAAACUUGCCGGUUAAUGAACCUUCGAAAAACCACCUUGCCGGGUGGUUUUUUCGU
rnacentral:antisense_RNA from 1 species